rnacentral:rRNA from 1 species
AUUGAACGCUGGCGGCAUGCCUUACACAUGCCAGUCGAACGGUAACAGGUCUUCGGAUGCUGACGAGUGGCGAACGGGUGAGUAAUACAUCGGAACGUGCCCGAUCGUGGGGGAUAACGAGGCGAAAGCUUUGCUAAUACCGCAUACGAUCUACGGAUGAAAGCGGGGGAUCUUCGGACCUCGCGCGGACGGAGCGGCCGAUGGCAGAUUAGGUAGUUGGUGGGAUAAAAGCUUACCAAGCCGACGAUCUGUAGCUGGUCUGAGAGGAUGAUCAGCCACACUGGGACUGAGACACGGCCCAGACUCCUACGGGAGGCAGCAGUGGGGAAUUUUGGACAAUGGGCGAAAGCCUGAUCCAGCCAUGCCGCGUGCAGGAUGAAGGCCUUUGGGUUGAAAACUGCUUUUGUACGGAACGAAAAGCCUCUUUCUAAUAAAGAGGGGUCAUGACGGUACCGUAAGAAUAAGCACCGGCUAACUACGUG